CCGCCUCAGGGUGCCCCUGGGAAUGGCGAGGGGCUGGGAGGGGGGCGCUCAGCGGCUGAAGCCAAGGGGAAUUUAGGCGCGUGCCCACUACGCGUUACCCUGCUCUAACGCUGCUCGAGGUGUGAUUCUCACUCAUCCUUGUCGUUUUAGCCAAGUGUAACAACAAAGGAGAACGUAGUGAGCAAGAGGGCAGAGGCUGCAGCCUGCAGUCAGACCUGCAGUGUUACUGAUGCUGAUCUGCUACUGCUGAUCCACUCUGGAGUCGCUGCGUUGUCUGAUGCAAUUAAAGUUCCAUUACCAGUACAGUGUGGGCCAGAUCACUUGUCUUCUCCUUCUGGAAACCUUUCCAGUGGCCCUAGAGAAGUAGUGCAAGACCCUGGAACCAAAACGAGAUUUGCCUGGUCUGGUAAAGUUUGGCAUCAUUCGGUAUCUGCUCCCUGACUGAAACAGAACUGUGCUGCACUCCAGGAGCAGUGAUCACUGGCUGUAAGAGCUCGGUGCUGCACUGGCUAACCUGUGGUGCUAGCACCCAAGCUAUACAUCCUUUUCACCAGUGCUUCCAGUAUGUUAUGGGUUUAUGACUAGGAGUACAAACAUCACAGGAAAAUGGUGUGUGAGCACUGCCACUCUGUGCAAAUGUGUAUGGCUGGGAACGGCUCCUGAUGCUGCUAACAGCAGUGGAUGAGGAAAAUAAGUUUAUGAACCCCUUUUCUACACUUUAUGAAACCCUGUUCUACACUUUGCCAUAGGCCUAAGUAUUGGUAUUACAGGCCAACUGCUAAAUCCUGUGACUCCUCACCAUUCACUUGGUUUGUGUUACAUGCAUAUCCCCAAGGCAAAUGAGAGAAUGGUAUGCCCACUUUUCCUAAUCAGCCAAAGGAGCAGGGGAAAAAUAAUCCAGAUUGGAAUGAACAAGGUAAAUGGUUUGCUUUAACCUACUUGGGGGAACAGGGAGCUUUUCCUCAGGAAACAAAAUAAAUAUACUCUUUUUUUUUUCCAUAAUAUUGAGUAGUAGAACUAUUUCGGUGCUUUUACUGAGGUAUUUUUUAGGAUUUUCAAGUGUUUAAGAGGAUUAUUUCUGCUUUGGCUAGCUGUGUUAUACUAGUUUGCAGUAAACUGCAGGAACUUCAGUGUCAAGAAGCCUUUAGACUCCCCCUGCCUAAUAAAGCUAGUAUUUAUUUAUUUAGGCUCUGAGAUAAGUACUUCAUUGAGGUUUUGGUGGCAGAAGCGGUAUGUGGUUUACACAUUUCCUACUCCUGUUUUCUCAUGGGUGGUUUUGUGUAAUAAGCUGUCCACUCUCACUAUAUCUAGGUUUGUCUUCACUUCAUUAUUAAUUCAGAUGUUGCUGUUCAUCUGAUUUCUAGCUGCAAAUACAUAAACCUCAAGCUCAGGUAUGCAUUAGUAAUUUACCCCAGAGCAGACCUGUCCCAUCCUACAGGUCUAAGUGCUGAGCAUAGAUACGGCUUGCUCUUGCUGCCAGUAACAGUGUGGAUGCAGGCUAAGCUGUCUGAAGGCUCAGUCCCUGCAUUCUGCAAUUACUUGGAAAGAGCAGGAAGGGACAGGCUGCUGUGCUGGGACCCAGAGCAAGGCCUUCAGGACUCCCAGGUGAAUACACGGUACUGCACCUUGCUGUAAGCCAGUAUGGCUUUGCAUUGGCUCUCCUUGCUCCAAGUCAAAGCAAAAUUACUACUUAACAGCUUCCUGGCAGGGAAAGCAUAGCCCCCAUGGGAUAUAAAGCAAAAUAUUACAUUAGAUCUUAAGCUAAAGAUUCAGGCAUCCAGUGGACAGCAGCACGCAAUAAAACACUUUUCGACUGCUAUGCAAAACUUGUGUAUAUUUUGUGUUGUUAUCUGUAAGAAGAUCUCUAAUCUUUGUAUCUUACUCCCAGCAGAAUCUUACCAUGAAUAAGUCAUGAGUGGCAGCUUAGCUGUCUAGGUUGCUUUUGAUUGGGAAAAUGGUUGAAUAUAGACCAACUUUAGGUGACAUAACUAGCAUAAGCCUGACUUCAGUUUGACUUCUUCUAAAGUGUAAAUUGAAAGUUAAUACCUCCACAGAUCCGGACUAUUGUGAGGAAAUGUACAAAAAUAAUAGACCUUUCCAAUGUACCUGAAGAGACUUGGAAAUAUGAAAAUCACUGAGAAUCAAUGGAAUUUAUAGUCCUGUAUCAGUUGGACUCCUCUGAAAAAGCCAAACACAGUCUUUGAAUUUGCUUGUAUUAGGAGAGAUUCUGCUCUUUCUGACAGAUUGGGAGUGGAAAUUUGCUAGAUAUCUCAGUUUUACGUUAGUAUAAAUGAGUAAUUUGAGACAUUGCUAAAACUGGUCUUCUGUCUAGCGUUAAGCACAGAAUAAAGGAAGCCAUGCUGAAAAACAAGGUAAAACACAUGGAGUCCAUGCUGAGGUUUAAUCUCCAAGCACCUAAGAUGGGAUUUACUUUUCCAGCCACUCCAAAAUCCAACUUGCAUCAGUUCAGAUUGAAAUGGAACAUGACCUUCAGUUGUCGAUGCCAGGGUGACCUCAGGCUUUUGCACGAUUUUUAAACAGAUGGCUUGUGAGUGUUAAAUGUAGUGUCUAAUAUAACCUUUGUGCUGGCCAUAAAGGUGACUGUAAAAUGUUACGAAUUCUGAGAUGGAGUAUCACUAUCUGAGGCUUGCUUGAGGAACAAGGGACGUUUGGUGGGCUGCAGUAAGAGAAUUUCCAUGUGACUUAACAGGGGCUGUACAAACAGGGAAGAGACACAGUGGAUCCUAGCGUACAGUUGAAUGACUGAAAGUUAAGCCAUUAAACAGAUGGGGGCAGGAUUUAUGACAGGAAUGGACUGCAAAACUUAUUUGUCCAACCUACAGUGCAAAGGAUCAGACAGACACCAAAAGGUCGAAGAACUUUUUCAGUGGGCUAAGGGGGGGAUUUAUGUUUGCAUUUGCCUAGAAGAAUGCAGAGAGAUGAAAUCUGAAAUGUGUCUCCCCUGCUCACGGUUUAGAGAUAACAAUACAAACUUUUUUUUUUCCCCGCUCCAGAACACUUUCAUUCUACAUAAACAUUUAGUUUUUAGGUGUCUCAGUGAUUGCAGAUUGUCACUCUCACUGC